CAACCCCUGUGANAUACCACUUGUUGCCUCGGCGGAUCAGCCCGCUCCCGGUAAAACGGGACGGCCCGCCAGAGGACCCCUAAACUCUGUUUCUAUAUGUAACUUCUGAGUAAAACCAUAAAUAAAUCAAAACUUUCAACAACGGAUCUCUUGGUUCUGGCAUCGAUGAAGAACGCAGCAAAAUGCGAUAAGUAAUGUGAAUUGCAGAAUUCAGUGAAUCAUCGAAUCUUUGAACGCACAUUGCGCCCGCCAGUAUUCUGGCGGGCAUGCCUGUUCGAGCGUCAUUUCAACCCUCAAGCACAGCUUGGUGUUGGGACUCGCGUUAAUUCGCGUUCCUCAAAUUGAUUGGCGGUCACGUCGAGCUUCCAUAGCGUAGUAGUAAAACCCUCGUUACUGGUAAUCGUCGCGGCCACGCCGUUAAACCCCAACUUCUGAAUGUUGACCUCGGAUCAGGUAGGAAUACCCGCUGAACUUAAGCAUA
rnacentral:rRNA from 1 species